rnacentral:rRNA from 1 species
CCCUUAGAUGUUCUGGGCUGCACGCGCGCUACACUGAAGCUAUCAACACGUUUUCCCUCCCUGAGAAGGGCGGGUAACCUAUUGAAUCAGCUUCGUGGUAGGGAUCGGGGCUUGCAAUUGUUCCCCGUGAACCAGGAAUUCCUAGUAGACGCGAGUCAUAAGCUCGCAUCGAUUAAGUCCCUGCCCUUUGUACACACCGCCCGUCGCUACUACCGAUUGAACGUUUUAGUGAGGCAUUUGGACCGACGCAUCUCAGUUUAACCGCUGGUUUGUGUUGGAAAGACUUCCAAACUUGAGCGUUUAGAGGAAGUAAAAGUCGUAACA